AGCUGAAGCUAGAUAAACUCAGACUACAUAUAAGUGAGGGAACAACUCACCUAGGGCCUUGGUGGAUUCUCUCAUUUAAAGGGUGUGAAUAUACCCCAUGCCCCAAAGGAAGGAGUAACCUUUGAAUGAGCUGCUAUCUGGGGUGCUGUGCCCCAGUCUAAGGGCCUCCCGACCUCUACUGGCUGCUGGACCUCCAUAGCUCAACCCUAGCACAGUACAAGUUUGGCCCAAUGGACCUUCAUGGGCUGUUCCAAGAGGAGGCAUUUCUGUGAUGAGCUGAGGGCUAAGGUUAUGGAGAGGGCCAACAAGCAGGUCCAGCACUAGAAACACAGGACAGGGUUUCAGCGUGGGAGCAGGCACUUGCUACGCAGCUCCUGGAACAGGAAUGCAGCUAAGGGAGGAGGACAGAGCUAAGCAGAGAGAACUGUUUGAGCAUCUCACCUCAGUCAUGGCUAUAAGAGUGCCGGCUACUGCUGCCUCUCCCACCACCAUGCCCCAAUUCCCCUGUGACAUACCUUCAGCCCAGAAACCGCUUGGCAAACUUCAUGGCUGAGUGGCCCAUGCAAUCAGGCCCCAUGGACGUCUGGGCAGGGCAACUUAGCCCCAUGCAAUCCUCCGUCUUGAUGCCCUCUACUAUGGAUGCCUCCACUGCCCUCCCCAGUGCCAAGUGCAUGGAAACCUGUGAAAGGGAAAGGAGAAUGGGGGGUCUGGGGAAGUGCAGAGGUAGGAGGGUUUCUGUCUUAUUUGGACUUGAUGCACUUUCGUUUGUUUGUUUUGGAACGGUUCUGUUGUAACUGGUGUUUGAGUGUUGUAAUGGCAGCUGUCCUGCUUGGCAGU